GGGUGUAUAGCUCAGCUGGUUAGAGCGCUUCGUCGACAUCGAAGAGGUCCCCCGUUCGAAUCGGGGUACACCCA
rnacentral:tRNA from 1 species